UGCUUUCUUUCCUGGCCACACUGCUACAAUCCAGUACUAACUAUCCAUGUCCAGGGUAAGGAUCGAGAUCGAGAAGCCCACACUGCCAGUGAAAAAGCUACGUCUUUACUGCAUAAAUUAGAGGAAGCAAUUUCGGAACAACGGAACCUUCAAACUAUAAAUACUGAAUUAUCGAACACUUGCCAGGCACUUCAGCAGAAGACAAGGAAACUGAAGACAACAAUUGAGUCACUUCAAAAGGAGUUCAUUGAAGGGGAACACCAUGGCUUGCUGUUUCAGAGCUUUUUAGAUGAGGAAUUUCCUCACUAUGAUUCCCUGUCCUGCACAGAUGCAAUUCAACAACCUCUUCAAGAAAAAUUGAAGCAGUGUUGCCACAAACUAUAUGGUGGUCAAGAAGCAAGAAUACAUCAGACACCCCUGACCUUGAAACAUACGUGCUGGUACACACCUCUGCUGGAUGCCUUAUCUCUGGAUAGUUUUACAGCAGUUCCAACUCUGGAAUCAACACCUUUCUCAGGUGUAGCCAACCAAAUCCACACUCUGUGUGAAAGGCCCACAUAUGGAGAAGUAAAGGAUGGUGCUUUGGAUGUAAGAAGGCAACACAAGUGCCCAGGCCCCACAAGUGGCCCCAACCCAGGAACAAAUCUCUCAGGCUGCAUCAGGAUGAAUGAUGACCCAAGUAUGGAAGAGAAUGGUGUUGAACGCGUGUGUUCUGAGAACCUGCUGCAGUCCAGGGAAUAUUCCUCACUACCAUUACCCAGACGCACUUCAUCGACAGACGGUACUAUAACUUCAAGUGGUAAGUGGAUUUGGAAAUAAUAUUAAAAUAGACUGUUAGUAUUAUAGCUUUCAGCCUGAUGUUCUGUGACCUGCUGGGGUGUGAGCAAAUGAGAAGAACAUAGGCAAAUACUCCUUUUGCAUAGUAUAGUUAAAUACACUAUACUAUAAUAUUAUGUGCAUAGUAUUCACACCAUUUGUUUCUCCUGUUGACAGAUCCUGGAUUAGAAAUUCUGAAUAUGGCUUCUUGUGACCUUGACAGUAACUCACUCUGUAAGAAAGAGGAGGAUACAAGAUCAGCUUCUCCCACGAUAGAGGCCCAAGGCACAAGUCCAGCUCGUGAUAAUAUUGCAUUCCAAGACUCUACGAGUAAGGAUAAAACCAUAUUAAAUCUGGAAGCCAAAGAGGAACCAGAAACAAUAGAAGAACAUAAAAAAGAACAUGCUUCAGGAGACUCUGUGGUUUCCCCUCUUCCUGUAACCACCGUGAAAUCGGUUAACCUUAGACAAAGUGAGAACACUUCUGCUAAUGAGAAGGAGGUGGAGGCAGAAUUUCUCAGAUUAUCUUUGGGAUUUAAGUGUGACUGGUUUACCUUGGAGAAGAGAGUGAAGCUUGAAGAGAGGUCCCGUGACUUGGCAGAAGAAAAUUUGAAGAAAGAAAUCACUAACUGUUUAAAACUAUUAGAGUCUUUAACACCUCUGUGUGAAGAUGACAACCAGGCACAGGAAAUCAUUAAGAAGCUGGAGAAGAGUAUAAAGUUUCUUAGCCAGUGUGCAGCACGAGUGGCCAGUAGGGCUGAGAUGUUGGGAGCCAUCAAUCAGGAAAGCCGGGUUAGUAAAGCAGUUGAAGUGAUGAUUCAGCACGUAGAAAACUUGAAGAGGAUGUAUGCCAAAGAGCACGCUGAAUUAGAAGAACUGAAACAGGUUCUUCUGCAGAAUGAAAGGUCUUUCAAUCCUCUUGAAGAUGACGAUGACUGCCAAAUUAAAAAACGUUCAGCUUCUCUAAACUCCAAGCCAUCUUCUCUACGAAGAGUGACUAUUGCCUCUUUACCCAGAAAUAUUGGAAAUGCAGGAAUGGUGGCUGGGAUGGAAAAUAAUGAUCGAUUCAGUAGGAGGUCAAGCAGUUGGCGUAUUUUGGGGUCAAAGCAGAGUGAACAUCGUCCCUCAUUACCUCGAUUUAUUAGCACCUAUUCCUGGGCAGAUGCUGAAGAAGAAAAAUGUGAACUAAAAACUAAAGAUGACUCAGAGCCACCUGGAGAAGAAACAGUAGAAAGGACAAGGAAGCCAAGUCUUUCUGAAAAGAAAAAUAAUCCAUCAAAGUGGGAUGUCUCUUCAGUUUAUGACACAAUAGCUUCCUGGGCAACAAAUCUCAAGUCCUCCAUCAGAAAGGCUAAUAAGGCCCUCUGGCUCUCUAUUGCAUUCAUUGUACUGUUUGCAGCUUUGAUGAGCUUCCUCACAGGCCAAUUAUUCCAGAAGUCUGUGGAUGCCGCUCCCACACAGCAAGAGGACUCAUGGAUGUCUCUAGAACAUAUCUUGUGGCCAUUUACCAGACUCCGACACAAUGGGCCACCACCAGUGUGACAGCAGGACAUCCUAAUAUAUGGAUCUUGAUUUUUAAGUUUCAGUAUCUGAACUUUGUAAAUUAGUAACUUUUAGCUGGGAAAGUAUAGCAUGAAACCAGAGGUUCUCAGAAUCACUGUAAGAUAGCUUACAUUUCCUCUUUUUGCCUUUAUCUCCCCAACUAAAAUACAAUGGGGAAGAAGUCUGCC
rnacentral:sRNA from 1 species